UAACUAUUUGUGAAGUAUUAAGGGAUGACAUUUAGUAUUUAUGUAAAUAUCACCUCCCGUGAUAUGAUUUCUAAAAUUAUACAUGUUUACACCGUCUCAUUUCGGCGAUCUCCGAGGUCAAUUUACUGAAUGGCGUAAAUCCGAUGAGAAAUCGGGAAGGGUGUGUGUGCAUUCCUCAUUAAUUAGCGUGUGCACAUUGCCUGAUAGUACUUGAUAUAUAUAUUAAAAUAAAUUUGUCCAUCUCAGACCCGUUUGUAUACGAAUCAAAACAAUUACAAUACGGAGAUUGCCGAUGAAAAAUUGAGCUAGAAUAUAUAAGAUCAGAUUUGAUUGGUCGUCCUUAAUUUUACCAGCCAAUGAAAUCGUUUGUUGUAUAGUCACUUGAUGUCAAAAUACAUGUACAAAUACAAUGACAACAACAGUGAAGUGUUUACCGCCUGGUUAUCUGAAAAAGGGUGCAAAAAACAAAUGGAGGUGGGAGUGGUUAGCGGAAAAGGACUCUAAAGGUGAAAAAUGGGAUGCUUGGUUGAAAAAACCAAAUGACAUGGGCUUUUGUGAAGUCUGUUCCAAAACGAUCAUCUAGACAAAUCGAACAGAAAAAAGGUGCUUCUUAAUCACGAUGAGCUGAAGAUGAGGACCACUAAAAGAAUCUUAGACCAAUACUGCCAGGCUCAUCAAAAGCUGUGGACAAAAAGAUUGAAAGUAUGCAAGAUCGCAUUGCCAAACAAAGAGCAAUCACAACUGCCUUUCUUAGUGAACAUUGACUGCCAUUUUCCAUAGCAGGCGAUCUCUAACAUCUUGCCAAACGUUUAACUGAAGACAAGCCUGCUCUUGAAAAAACUACUCUUUCUCCAACCAAUGUACAUAACAACACAUGGUGUAGCCAAAUCUGUUAAGGAUGGAGUGAAGUCAAAAGUGAAAGAUAAGUUAAUAUCUUUGAAUAUGGAUGAGGCAACUAACAAAAAACAAUAACAAAGUACUGAAUAUAAUCUUUCAGUACUUUGAUAAUGAAACUAGUCAAGUAGUAAUGGAUCAUUUAGGAUUGAGAAUUCAAAAUGAUUCCACAUCUGAAGAAAUUGUCAAGUCAGUUGAAAGUGUGCUGCAUCAACAAGUGGAAGACAAUGGAAAAAAUUAAAUUUAAGAUAUGAAAUUGAAAAUAGUAAAAAGAAUGAACAUAAUUUGUUAUGUGGAAUGUGUAUAUAUUGCUUAAAUAGUAUUGCUCAGUGAAUUUGUGUAUAUUUUAACAUAUCAGAUUAAUUACAUCUGAAGAUAAAUAAAGCACUUGAGUAUGUAUUUGAGCCUUUUUUUGAACUUUUAAAUUCACUAAAUUGCAAAAGCUUCUGAGGGCCUCCAGCCCCCUGAACCCCUAGCCAGGGUGUUGCCCUGGACCCACCGGGGGCCCUAGCGGCCCCCUGGUCCCCAACUUUUUCUUUCAGUAUUUUCAGUUUCUGUAACUUUUACCCCUGCAUGUACACAUGUGUUUAUCACCUCAAUAAAUGUAAGUGAAAAUGGAACAAUAAUUAUGGUAAUUAUCCAUGGUGCUAGAAAUACUUAAUUAUCUUUAUCAUCAUGUUAACUAAGCAAGAAGCUUAUAAUUGCGUAAUCUUACAAUAGUUAUCAAUUUAAACUUGAAAAUCUACUCUAAAUGACUUCCCAAACAGUAAGUUCUAAAAACAUGAAAAUGAUUCGUGUAGAAAAAUAACACAAGAAAAAACUGAUUUGACUCAUGAAAAUUUUUGGCCAAACAGUCUGCCACGUGAAAUUCUGACCUUCCUGAGAUCCCUGCUGUUUGUUUUUUUUAAUAACAUUUUACAUGAUUUAAUUUUAUGAUUAAACCUGUGUAUAGAGCCACUCAUGUGCAGAGCUGCAUCAGUACUAAGGGUGUAGUACUUAAGUACCAGUACCAGUACUUGGCAAAUUAUGCAGUACCAUUACCAGUACCAGUACUAGAUUUUAGCUCGGUACUGCAGUACCAGCACUUUUUUUGGUGAAGUAAUUAAUUAUCAGUACCAUUACUUUUAUAUAUUCAUCAAAGUUUGAAUAGAUACUGUGUCAAACAAAUAAAUUCAAAUAUUAUUCAGCAAAGAAAUAAAAUCAUAAUUUACUUUAAAGCUGUGCAGCAUGCCUCCAGAUGACCCAAAAUAUUUCAAGAAAAUUUAACUUGGAAAAAAAUUACUAAAACUUUGAGAAAAGUAAACAAAUUAAAGAUUCAAGUGAUAAUUUAUAUCUUAUGUGCAAUUAAUGACUGUAUUUUGUAGUAUUUAUCACCAUAUUUCUUCUGCGUUACUAAGGCAGUAGGGGCUAUUUAUGCAUGUUUUGACCUCUUUUUGGUAAUUUACGUGGAUUUUAAGUGCCGAUUGUAAUGUGUCUAGUACUUUCUUUGUUCAUGAAACAAUAUUUUACCUUUAAAUACAUUUUCAAAAUGUUCAUGAAAAUUAGUAUGAAUCUGGAGGUGUGCUGCUUUAAAGUUAACAUAACAUAUUUACACGGAUUUAUAUUACAAUGUAAUAUAAAUCCGUGAUAUUUACAACAGUUUUAACAUACUUUUUACAAACAAUAUUUACAACAUAUAUUCAUGUCAUAUCUAAUUGUUUAGUAACCAGUCAACUGUAUAAAUACAAUGCAAACAACUUUCAUUUAAAACACAACAGUCUUUUGUUGCCUUUCACACCUCUGUUCAAUUAAUACCAAAGUAAAUAACAACUUUUUAUGGUGCUAACAAUAUCACUUUUUUCACUUGAAAUGGGAUUUUUUAGAAUAGAAGAAAUUAAUUAUGUCUCCCCCACCUCGGGGGGAGACAUAUUGUUUUUGCCCUGUCUGUCCGUCAGUCCGUCCGUCCGUCCGUCAGUCCGUCCAUUCUUCGUUUCCGGACGAUAACUAGAGUUCCUUUUGACCUACAGCUCUCAAACUUCAUAGGAUGAAUGGUCUUAUUGAGCAGAUGAUCCCUAUUGUUUUUGGGGUCAGUAGUUCAAAGGUCAAGGUCACAGUGACCGUUGGUCAAUUUCUCGUUUCCGGAUGAUAACUAGAGUUCCUUUUGACCUACAGCCCUCAAACUUCAUAGGAUGAUUGGUCUUAUAGAGCUGAUGAUCCCUAUUGUUUUUGGGGUCAGUAGGUCAAAGGUCAAGGUCACAGUGACCGUUGGUCAAUUUCUCGUUUCCGGAUGAUAACUAGAGUUCCUUUAGACCUACAGACCUCAAACUUCAUAGGAUGAUUGGUCUUAUUGAGCAGAUGAUCCCUAUUGUUUUUGGGGUCAGUAGUUCAAAGGUCAAGGUCACAGUGACCGUUGGUCAAUUUCUCGUUUCCGGAUGAUAACUAGAGUUCCUUUUGACCUACAGCCCUCAAACUUCAUAGGAUGAUUGGUCUUAUAGAGCAGAUGAUCCCUAUUGUUUUUGGGGUCAGUAGGUCAAAGGUCAAGGUCACAGUGACCGUUGGUCAAUUUCUCAUUUCCGGAUGAUAACUAGAGUUCCUUUUGACCUACAACCCUCAAACUGGGGGGAGACAUAUUGUUUUUGCCCUGUCCGUCCGUCAGUCCGUCCGGCCGUCAGUCCGUCCGUCCAUUCUUCGUUUCCGGACGAUAACUAGAGUUCCUUUUGACCUACAGCUCUCAAACUUCAUAGGAUGAAUGGUCUUAUUGAGCAGAUGAUCCCUAUUGUUUUUGGGGUCAGUAGUUCAAAGGUCAAGGUCACAGUGACCGUUGGUCAAUUUCUCGUUUCCGGAUGAUAACUAGAGUUCCUUUUGACCUACAGCCCUCAAACUUCAUUGGAUGAUUGGUCUUAUAGAGCUGAUGAUCCCUAUUGUUUUUGGGGUCAGUAGGUCAAAGGUCAAGGUCACACUGACCGUUGGUCAAUUUCUCGUUUCCGGAUGAUAACUAGAGUUCCUUUAGACCUACAGACCUCAAACUUCAUAGGAUGAUUGGUCUUAUUGAGCAGAUGAUCCCUAUUGUUUUUGGGGUCAGUAGUUCAAAGGUCAAGGUCACAGUGACCGUUGGUCAAUUUCUCGUUUCCGGAUGAUAACUAGAGUUCCUUUUGACCUACAGCCCUCAAACUUCAUAGGAUGAUUGGUCUUAUAGAGCAGAUGAUCCCUAUUGUUUUUGGGGUCAGUAGGUCAAAGGUCAAGGUCACGGUGACCGUUGGUCAAUUUCUCAUUUCCGGAUGAUAACUAGAGUUCCUUUUGACCUACAACCCUCAAACUUCAUAGGAUGAUUGGUCUUAUUAAUCAAAUGAUCCCUAUUGUUUUAAUGGUCAGUAGGUCAAAGGUCAAGGUCACAGCGACCGUUGGUUAAUUUCUCCUUUCCGGAUGAUAACUAGAGUUCCUUUAGACCUACAACCCUCAAACUUCAUAGGAUGAUUGGUCUUAUUGAGCAGAUGAUCCCUCUUGUUUAUGGGGUCAGUAGGUCAAAGGUUAAGGUCACAGUGACCAUUGGUCAUUUUCUCAUUUCCGGAUGAUAACUAGAGUUCUUAUCAGUGAGGACAUUUAACUAUUAUUGAUAUAUCAGUGAUAUAUCAGUUGUCUGGUUUUAUAUACUCUGUUCUUUUAUCUCCAUUUCCAUUCCUGUUUCCAUUCACAGUUAUUCUCAGCAGUGGGGGAGACAUGCGCUUUUU